GACGAACGCUGGCGGCGUGCCUAAUACAUGCAAGUAGAACGCUGAAGGAGGAGCUUGCUUCUCUGGAUGAGUUGCGAACGGGUGAGUAACGCGUAGGUAACCUGCCUGGUAGCGGGGGAUAACUAUUGGAAACGAUAGCUAAUACCGCAUAAGAGUAGAUGUUGCAUGACAUUUGCUUAAAAGGUGCAAUUGCAUCACUACCAGAUGGACCUGCGUUGUAUUAGCUAGUUGGUGGGGUAACGGCUUACCAAGGCGACGAUACAUAGCCGACCUGCGAGGGUGAUCGGCCACACUGGGACUGAGACACGGCCCAGACUCCUACGGGAGGCAGCAGUAGGGAAUCUUCGGCAAUGGACGGAAGUCUGACCGAGCAACGCCGCGUGAGUGAAGAAGGUUUUCGGAUCGUAAAGCUCUGUUGUAAGAGAAGAACGAGUGUGAGAGUGGAAAGUUCACACUGUGACGGUAUCUUACCAGAAAGGGACGGCUAACUACGUG
rnacentral:rRNA from 1 species